rnacentral:rRNA from 1 species
GACAAAGGGGGCUAGCGUUGUUCGGAAUUACUGGGCGUAAAGCGAGUGUAGGUGGUUGUCCAAGUUGGAUGUGAAAGCCUUGAGCUCAACUCAAGAAAUGCAUUCAGGACUGGGUGACUAGAGGACCGGAGAGGAUAGUGGAAUUCCCAGUGUAGUGGUGAAAUACGUAGAGAUUGGGAAGAACACCAGUGGCGAAGGCGGCUAUCUGGACGGUUUCUGACACUAAGACUCGAAAGCGUGGGGAGCAAACAGG